rnacentral:rRNA from 1 species
UACGGAGGGGGCUAGCGUUGUUCGGAAUCACUGGGCGUAAAGGCGCGUAGGCGGCCUGAUAAGUAGGGGGUGAAAUCCUGCGGCUUAACCGCAGGGCUGCCUUCUAAACUGUCAGGCUAGAGCACAGUAGAGGCAGGUGGAAUUCCCGGUGUAGCGGUGGAAUGCGUAGAGAUCGGGAAGAACAUCAGUGGCGAAGGCGGCCUGCUGGGCUGUUGCUGACGCUGAGGCGCGGACAGCGUGGGGAGCAAACAGG